ACGGGAGGCAGCAGUGGGGAAUAUUGCACAAUGGGGGAAACCCUGAUGCAGCGACGCCGCGUGAGUGAAGAAGUAUUUCGGUAUGUAAAGCUCUAUCAGCAGGGAAGAAAAUGACGGUACCUGGCUAAGAAGCCCCGGCUAACUACGUGCCAGCAGCCGCGGUAAUACGUAGGGGGCAAGCGUUAUCCGGAUUUACUGGGUGUAAAGGGAGCGUAGACGGUCGAGCAAGUCUGAUGUGAAAGCCCGGGGCCCAACCCCGGAACUGCAUUGGAAACUGUUUGACUAGAGUGCAGGAGAGGUAAGUGGAAUUCCUAGUGUAGCGGUGAAAUGCGUAGAUAUUAGGAGGAACACCAGUGGCGAAGGCGGCUUACUGGACUGUAACUGACGUUGAGGCUCGAAAGCGUGGGGAGCAAACAGGAUUAGAUACCCUGGUA
rnacentral:rRNA from 1 species